ACAAAAUUUGGUUCUAGUUUUUAGUUAAUUAUUUCUUUUAGAAAUACAUGAUAGUCUUGUCGAAGUUGUGAAGUUUAAAAUAAAUUUUUAUUAUUAUAAAUUAAAAUUUAAAUUUAUUUUCCCGGUAUCAAUUAUUUUUAUCACACCACUUACUACUUCAGUAUUAAAGCUUAAAAACAAAAGAAAUUUGGGUUUAGAAAUGGAAUAUAGGACUAGUUAAAUUUGUGCCAGCAACUGCGGUUAUACAAAAGGUCCAAGUUAACUAACACGGUAAAAGAUAGUUAUUAUUAAAUUUUGUUAAAUUAUAAAAAAUGAAAAAGUAAAAUUUAUAUUUUUUUAUAAACUACUAUUAACUAACAAAAGAAGCUAUAAAAAUUUUAAGUAAAACUGGGAUUAGAUACCCCAUUAUUAAAAAAUUAACUUAUUACACCAGAGUACUACGAAUCAAAAUCGUUUAAAACUUAAAGAACUUGGCGGUGUCUUAAUUCUUUCUAGGGGAACCUGUACUAUAAAUCGACAAUCCGCGCUUAACCUUACUUUAUUUAAUUUUUUUAGUUUGUAUACUUCCGCCAUAAGUUGCCCCUUAAAGGAAUAACAGUCAACUAUUUAGAACUUUUUCUAUUAUGACAGGUCAAAGUGCAGCUUAUAAUAAAGUUUGAUAUGGGUUACAAUUUAAAUUUAAAAUAACGAAUAUUUAUUGAAAUUAUAUUUAUUGAAGGAGGACUUAGAAGUAAAAAUCAAUUAUGAAUAUUUUUUUGAAAAAGCUCUAAGACGUGUACAUAUCGCCCGUCACUCUCUUUCUAAAAAGAGAUAAGUCGUAACAUAGUAGGGGUAGCUGAAGCUGUCCC
rnacentral:ncRNA from 1 species